AACUUUCCUUCGGGAAAGAUAUAAAGUGGCGCACGGGUGAGUAACACGUAAGUAAUCUACCUUUGAGUGGGGAAUACCAUCGGGAAACCGAUGCUAAUACCGCAUAAUGCAGCGGCACCGCAAGGUGACAGUUGUUAAAGGAGCAAUCCGCUUAAAGAGGAGCUUGCGGUAGAUUAGCUAGUUGGUAAGGUAAUGGCUUACCAAGGCUACGAUCUAUAUCCGGUCUAAGAGGACGGUCGGACACACUGACGCUGAAUAACGGGUCAGACUCCUACGGGAGGCAGCAGUCGGGAAUUUUGGGCAAUGGGCGAAAGCCUGACCCAGCAACGCCGCGUGAAGGAUGAAGUAUUUCGGUAUGUAAACUUCGAAAGAAUAGGAAGAAUAAAUGGCGGUACUAUUUAUAAGGUCCGGCUAACUACGUGCCAGCAGCCGCGGUAAUACGUAGGGACCAAGCGUUGUUCGGAUUUACUGGGCGUAAAGGGCGCGUAGGCGGCGUGGUAAGUCACUUGUGAAAUCUCUGAGCUUAACUCAGAACGGCCAAGUGAUACUGCUGUGCUAGAGUGCAGAAGGGGCAAUCGGAAUUCUUGGUGUAGCGGUGAAAUGCGUAGAUAUCAAGAGGAACACCUGAGGUGAAGACGGGUUGCUGGGCUGACACUGACGCUGAGGCGCGAAAGCCAGGGGAGCAAACGGGAUUAGAUACCCCGGUAGUCCUGGCCCUAAACGAUGAAUACUUGGUGUCUGGAGUCAUUAUUGCUCCGGGUGCCGUCGCUAACGUUUUUAGUAUUCCGCCUGGGGAGUACGCACGCAAGUGUGAAACUCAAAGGAAUUGACGGGGACCCGCACAAGCGGUGGAGCAUGUGGUUUAAUUCGACGCAACGCGAAGAACCUUACCUGGACUAGAAUGUGAGGGAAGGGCUUCUAACAGAGUCCGUCUGGGAAACCAGACCCAAAACAAGGUGCUGCAUGGCUGUCG
rnacentral:rRNA from 1 species